rnacentral:rRNA from 1 species
ACUCCUACGGGAGGCAGCAGUGGGGAAUUUUGCGCAAUGGGGGAACCCUGACGCAGCAACGCCGCGUGAGUGAUGAAGGCCUUCGGGUCGUAAAGCUCUGUCGGAGGGGAAGAAAUGUGAGAGUGCGAACAGUAUUUUCACUUGACGGUACCCUCAAAGGAAGCACCGGCUAACUCCGUGCCAGCAGCCGCGGUAAUACGGAGGGUGCGAGCGUUGUUCGGAAUUAUUGGGCGUAAAGCGCGUGUAGGCGGUUUAUUAAGUCUGAUGUGAAAGCCCCGGGCUCAACCUGGGAAGUGCAUUGGAAACUGGUAAACUUGAAUACGGGAGAGGGUAGUGGAAUUCCUAGUGUAGGAGUGAAAUCCGUAGAUAUUAGGAGGAACACCGGUGGCGAAGGCGGCUACCUGGACCGAUAUUGACGCUGAGACGCGAAAGCGUGGGGAGCAAACAGGAUUAGAUACCCUGGUAGUCCACGCCGUAAACGAUGAGAACUAGGUGUCGCGGGUA